ACAGCACCCUGUUUAUGGGUAUCCUCAUUAAGGGCUUGGCGAAACUGAAGAAGAUCCCAGAAACAGUUAAGGCAAUCAUAGAGCGCUUGGAGCAGGAGUUGAAGCAAAUUGUGAAGAGGUCUACAACCCAGGUGGCAGACAGUGGCUAUCAACGGGGGGAGAACGUUACUGUGGAGAAUCAACCAAGGUUGCUUCUAGAACUGCUGGAGUUACUGUUUGACAAGUUUAAUGCUGUAGCCGCUGCACACUCUGUGGUCCUGGGAUACCUGCAGGACACUGUAGUGACUCCACUGACUCAGCAGGAAGAUAUCAAACUGUAUGAUAUGGCAGAUGUAUGGGUGAAGAUCCAAGAUGUUCUACAGGUAAGAGCCUUUUACAAAGGGUGUCA
rnacentral:sRNA from 1 species